UUUAGGCUUAGGCUUAGGCUUAGGCUUGGGCUUAGGUUUAGGCUUAGGCAUAGGCUUAGGUUUAGGGUCAGGCUU
ensembl:ncRNA Y79H2A.13 ncRNA